rnacentral:tRNA from 1 species
GUCCCCAUCGUCUAGAGGCCUAGGACAUCGCCCUUUCACGGCGGUAACCGGGGUUCGAACCCCCGUGGGGACGCCA